GAGAGUGGCGAACGGUGAGUAAUAUAUCGGAACGUGCCCAGUCGGUGGGGGAUAACGUAGCGAAAGUUACGCUAAUACCGCAUACUAUCUAUGGAUGAAAGCGGGGGAUCGCAAGACCUCGCGCGAUUGGAGCGGCCGAUAUCAGAUUAGGUAGUUGGUGAGGUAAAGGCUCACCAAGCCGACGAUCUGUAGCUGGUCUGAGAGGACGACCAGCCACACUGGGACUGAGACACGGCCCAGACUCCUACGGGAGGCAGCAGUGGGGAAUUUUGGACAAUGGGCGCAAGCCUGAUCCAGCAAUGCCGCGUGCAGGAUGAAGGCCUUCGGGUUGUAAACUGCUUUUGUAAGGAACGAAACGGUGAGCUCUAAUACAGUUUGCUAAUGACGGUACCGUAAGAAUAAGCACCGGCUAACUACGUG
rnacentral:rRNA from 1 species